AACGCUGGCGGCGCGCUUAACACAUGCAAGUCGAGCGAGAACCGGGGCUUCGGCCCCGGGGACAGCGGCGAACGGGUGAGUAACACGUGGGUAAUCUGCCCUCGGUUCUGGGAUAGCCCGGGGAAACCCGGAUUAAUACCGGAUAGCCUCUCUGGCCUUUGGGCCGGCGAGAAAAGGUAGCUUCGGCCUCCGACCGAGGAUGAGCCCGCGGCGGAUUAGCUUGUUGGUGGGGUAACGGCUCACCAAGGCGACGAUCCGUAGCUGGUCUGAGAGGACGAUCAGCCACACUGGGACUGAGACACGGCCCAGACUCCUACGGGAGGCAGCAGUGGGGAAUCUUGCGCAAUGGGCGAAAGCCUGACGCAGCGACGCCGCGUGAGGGAAGAAGGCCUUCGGGUUGUAAACCUCUUUCAGGUGGGACGAAGCCACUCGGGUGAAUAGCCCAGAGGGUGACGGUACCUCCAGAAGAAGCCCCGGCUAACUACGUGCCAGCAGCCGCCGUAA
rnacentral:rRNA from 1 species